rnacentral:rRNA from 1 species
UACGAAGGGGGCUAGCGUUGCUCGGAAUUACUGGGCGUAAAGCGCACGUAGGCGGCUUUCUAAGUCGGGGGUGAAAUCCUGGAGCUCAACUCCAGAACUGCCUUCGAUACUGGAGAGCUCGAGUCCGGGAGAGGUGAGUGGAACUGCGAGUGUAGAGGUGAAAUUCGUAGAUAUUCGCAAGAACACCAGUGGCGAAGGCGGCUCACUGGCCCGGUACUGACGCUGAGGUGCGAAAGCGCGGGGAGCAAACAGG